rnacentral:rRNA from 1 species
CAGCGGUCCGGCCGGGAACUCAAAGGAGACUGCCAGUGAUAAACUGGAGGAAGGUGGGGAUGACGUCAAGUCAUCAUGGCCCUUACGACCAGGGCUACACACGUGCUACAAUGGCGCAUACAAAGAGAAGCGACCUCGCGAGAGCAAGCGGACCUCAUAAAGUGCGUCGUAGUCCGGAUUGGAGUCUGCAACUCGACUCCAUGAAGUCGGAAUCGCUAGUAAUCGUGGAUCAGAAUGCCACGGUGAAUACGUUCCCGGGCCUUGUACACACCGCCCGUCACACCAUGGGAGUGGGUUGCAAAAGAAGUAGGUAGCUUAACCUUCGGGAGGGCGCUUACCACUUUGUGAUUCAUGACUGGGGUGAAGUCGUAACAAGGUAACCGUAGGGGAACCUGCGGUUGGAUCAC